UACGUAGGUGGCGAGCGUUGUCCGGAUUUACUGGGCGUAAAGAGCGCGCAGGCGGUCGUUCAAGUCGCGUGUGAAAGCCCCCGGCUCAACUGGGGAGGGUCACGCGAUACUGAUCGACUCGAAGGCAGGAGAGGGAAGUGGAAUUCCCAGUGUAGAGGUGAAAUUCGUAGAUAUUGGGAAGAACACCGGUGGCGAAGGCGGCUCACUGGCUCGUAUCUGACGCUCAGGCGCGACAGCGUGGGGAUCAAACAGG
rnacentral:rRNA from 1 species